rnacentral:rRNA from 1 species
UACGAAGGGGGCUAGCGUUGCUCGGAAUCACUGGGCGUAAAGGGUGCGUAGGCGGGUCUUUAAGUCAGGGGUGAAAUCCUGGAGCUCAACUCCAGAACUGCCUUUGAUACUGAAGAUCUUGAGUUCGGGAGAGGUGAGUGGAACUGCGAGUGUAGAGGUGAAAUUCGUAGAUAUUCGCAAGAACACCAGUGGCGAAGGCGGCUCACUGGACCGGCAUUGACGCUGAGGCGCGAAAGCGUGGGGAGCAAACAGGG